CGAAAGCCUGAUGCAGCGACGCCGCGUGAGGGAUGACGGCCUUCGGGUUGUAAACCUCUUUCAGCAGGGAAGAAGCGCAAGUGACGGUACCUGCAGAAGAAGCACCGGCUAACUACGUGCCAGCAGCCGCGGUAAUACGUAGGGUGCGAGCGUUGUCCGGAAUUAUUGGGCGUAAAGAGCUUGUAGGCGGUUUGUCGCGUCUGCCGUGAAAAUUCGAGGCUCAACCUCGAACUUGCGGUGGGUACGGGCAGACUAGAGUGUGGUAGGGGAGACUGGAAUUCCUGGUGUAGCGGUGAAAUGCG
rnacentral:rRNA from 1 species